rnacentral:lncRNA from 1 species
UCUGCACAAGAGGAGGAGUACUGAAGAGGUUCUCUCUCACACAAGAAAACCUGGCUGCAUUUUCACCACUGUUUUGUAGGACUGCAAGGCCUGAACAUUAAUUUCCCAUGUCAUUUUGGUGCAGAAGCAAUGCAUCUUCAUCAUCCAUCUUCCACUUCACCAUCACCACACCACAAAUGGGGCAAACAUACUAAAAAGCUAAAUGACCUACCCAAUGUAUAAAAGAGGAGCUUCCUGAGAUGUGACAAAGUAAAGCAGAAUCUACCUACAGCCUGCAAUAAGGCUUUUGCCAAAAGGUAAAGGACCUCAAAUAGAGGUCAAUUUUGUCAAAUAGAAAGGAUCUCAGGUAAAUGUUAUUAACUACUGGCUGCAUUAUGUCAGGUACUAUAUUUUGCACCACCUCCUUCUGGAUGGAUUCUACUCACCUCUGCUGCCCACUUUUCAUGUAAAUUCAAGGUCCUCUGGGCAAGAAUCUGAAAUCUGUUUUGUUUCUGUGACUUCUCCUGUAGCACCCUCCAGAAAAGAGGCCCUGCCUUGAAAACUUGAGUCUUUCUGAGGAUGGCAGGUGCUACAAAAAGAGAGAAAUGGUGGAUGCAAAUCAUCUCAUCUUUGAUGAAGCUCCAUGUGGAAAGCGUGCCAAGUGAGUGUGCUGGAAAUUCAUUCAUCCCCUGGAGGCAGGUGGGGUUAAUUCCGACUAGCACAAACCUAGUGAGGAGAUGGAGAAAGAAGAUAAACACAUAGAAGAAUUAGAAGUUGAUAGAUGUCUGCACAGUUAAACCUGACAGGUAGGAUUGUACUUCAGCAUAGUUUGUUUCCCUGCAGUUGUUCCAGAUUUCUUUGUUGCAAACUAAAAACAUCUACAAAGGGUCUGCAAGCUUCGUAUCCCACUUGUACUGCAUGGAGGUGAUGACUACACUUUAAAAGAGCUCAGGAUUAUUCAGUGGCACAUCCUGGAGUGUAAAUCAGCUCAAAUUUAACCUUAAUCACUAUGGGUAAUCAGUGGAAAGGGUUCAGUUCAGACUGCAAGGGUAAAAACAGCCAAGGCUGAAAGUGCUCAAGGCUUCUGAAGGAGCAAAACUUUGAGGCAGGGAUGUUGGCU